GCUUUCAGAAUAGAAAGGAAGCCCGGCACAUUUUUUCGCUAUUUUCGGAACGUUUUUUUGCAAGAAUCUCAGGACCAUCGGCUGGACACAAGCUACAACGUUUAGUGCAAUAUAUUUGACGAAGCCUUUUAGCUUUGAUUAACAUUAUCGACGCACUUAUCCAGGCCACUGCGCCAAUAUAGGAUGCUGGGGAUCCCUGUUCAUCUGCUAAGAACUUUCGUGUACCCCUGCUUUCAUUCUUAUUUGUCCCUAAUUUGGCUUGGUAUACGAUUGCUGGUGGAUGCCGCGUUUCCUGAAACUUCAUAGUUUGUAACUAUGUGGUAUAUCAACUGGCUAAUGAGAUCGACCCAAUGCCUUGCGGUUCUGUCCACAACGCCAUAAAGUUAUUGCACGAGGAAUAGAACUUGACAGUAACUUUGUGUAGAGUGGGCAUAUCUCUGCAGUGGCUGAACGAACCCAACAGGGGUGUCAACAGUGGUGCGAAGGGAUGCGGCCGACAAGAGGAAAUCGGCAAACGGUGGACAUCAAGCGGCCAUUGUGCGCGAAUCGAGUUUGCCCAGCAGUCCAUCAAGAUUUGUUGGUCCCUUAAACCGUCCUGAGCAAAGCAAGUAGCGUUUAGCACGAAAGAUCUUCCAUCAAGCUCGUCUGACGUAUUUUGACCCAUACAGCAGAAAAGCAUUGACGGAUGAGAUAAGAAGCCAAAGUGAAAUA